rnacentral:snRNA from 1 species
AUCUCUUAGGUUUAAACAGUCAAACGAGAAAUUUUUUCGCCUUUUACUAAAAAAUUCCGUGUUUAAACCUAUUUAAAGAGUAUCUUUGAAUUUUUGGAAGCUUUCUUUCGAGAAAGCA